CGGGUCUCGAGUGUCCAAACUGCAGCGGCCGGACAGGAGUAGCAGGAACCUUUCAAAUAUCCACAUUGCCACUGCUGUGCCUGGUAGAAUUUUGAUUCAUCAUGGAUCACAUGUCACCUGAAGAUAUUCAGCUAAGGGCUAACCAGCUUACUGAUGAGUCUCUGGAAAGUACAAGGAAAAUGCUUGACUUAGCCGUGCAGUCUCAAGAUGCAGGAAUCCAGACCAUCACCAUGCUGGGUGAACAAGGGGAACAACUAAACCGCAUAGAAGAAGGCAUGGAUCAGAUAAAUAAAGAUAUGAGAGAGACAGAGAAGACUUUAACAGAACUCAACAAGUGCUGUGGCCUUUGUGUCUGUCCAUGUAACAGGACGAAGAACUUUGAGUCUAGCAAGGCCUAUAAGGCAACAUGGGGAGAAGGCGAGGACAACUCACCUAGCAAUGUGGUAUCCAAGCAACCGGCCAGAGUUACAAAUGGGCAGCCUCAGCAGCCAGCCACC